GCACCCUUUCACAUCUUGAACUUCUUUGGCGACGUUUUAGAAAUGAAAAUACCAAGCAAAAGCAAGGCAUGUUUGCUUACGUGCUGGAAAAGCACGUCUAACUGUAUGAGGCUUGUUACGCAUAAGAUUAAACCAUCUCUGUAUUUUCACAUGGAGUGAACUGAAAUACAGUGGUACCUCGGGUUACAUACGCUUCAGAUUACAGACUCCGCUAACCCAGAAAUAGUACCUCGGGUUAAGAACUUUGCUUCAGGAUGAGAACAGAAAUUUGGCUCCGGCGGCACAGUGGCAGCAGGAGGCCCCAUUAGCUAAAGUGCUUCAGGUUAAGAACAGUUUCAGGUUAAGAACAGACCUCCGGAAUGAAUUAAGUACGUAACCCGAGGUCCCACUGUAAAAACUCAGUCACUUCAUUUAGGUGCAGCUCCGAGGACCUUCUGGUGAUUCCCUCCCUACGAGAAGUGAGGUUACAGGGAUCCAGGCAGAGGUCCUUCUCGGUAGUGGUGCCUGCCCUGUGGAAUGCCCUCCCAUCAGAUGUCAAGGAAAUAAACAGCUAUCUGACUUUUAAAAGACAUCUGAAGGCAGCCCUGUUUAGGGAAGUUUUUAAUGUUUGAUUUUUUUUAUCGUAUUUUAAAUAUUCUGCUGGUAGCCACCCAGAGUGCCUGGGGAAAUCCAGCCAGAUGGGCGGGGUAUAAAUCAUCAUCAUCAUCACCAUCACUGGGUGUAAAUUUCUGUGAUUCCAUAACCCCUAUCUUAAAGAACUGAAUUAGGCUCUAGUCCUAACCCCACAUACCUGAGAGUGAAUCCCACUGACUUCAAGAGGACUUCUACAAAGAUGUGUUUAGGACUCUUCUGUUAGAAUCUUUUUUUUACACAAUUUGAAAAAGCAUAUUUUCAAGUUGGUUUUACAAGCAGAUCCUAAACGUAAGCAUCGGCUCCAGCAGGAGGAAGAAUGGAUAUAAGAUGCAAUUAUUAUUAUUAAUAAUAAUAAAUGAGCACAAGUGCAGUCUAAUAAAGCUCUCCUUGCUAGUUAAACCCACAGAAACCUGGUUUGCGCAGUUUCUCCUCAAAUCAAUUUGUGGUGGAAGAGAGGGCCUCACGUCAGUCUUGCAUUAUGCAUCAGUUGAAUGUAGGACCUGUAGGAUGAUUUUGUUGGGCAUGUGCAUUGGGAAGCUUUUACUAAUGGAAAGUAAUCUCUCCCAUUUCUUCAACACCUCCAUUCAGCUGAGCUGUCUGGUGAUUUAGAAAUACACAUAUACAUCUCAAUUAAUGACCAGAUUUUGCUGUUGAGGGCAAAUUUGAAACACCUGACUCUGGUGAUUCUAGUAGCAGAUCCAGCAGUCACUCAUGCUACAGACAGACAAGGAGAAUGCUUAUCCAAUGUGCAGUGCUCAUUUGAUUGCACUGUCAUUUAGAGUGAUCACUGAAGUGUGUUUAAGAAGAAGAGAUUGUAGUUCAUUUCAGAAAAAUCAAUACAAAUCUGACCUGAGUUUUGCUUUGGGGAUAAGAAAAUGCCUGAGAAUGCUUGUGACCAGCAUAUUAAAGAAAAAAUGAGCUAGUUUGUGAUUGUUUGGAAAUAAUAACAAGAUUGCAAUUGCAGAGAUGCCCUGAAUGUGAAGCUUUGUUGACUUUUUAUACUGAGGACCUGAGCUUUGUUGUGCUUUCAGCUUUAAUUACUAUGAAUCACCACAGGCAAAUGGAUUUUAUUUUCACUUUAUUCUUAUCAAAAGACCUUUGGCUGAAAAUUUGCUUCUCGGCAUACUUACCAAAAAGGGUUGUUGCAGAUAGAGGGAAUAAUUUGUGAUUUUUACCACUGCACACAUUAGAUCCCAGGCUAAGGGCAUGUAUUAGAUUGCUAUAUAGCUUAGUAAAUACAAAUUCAAAGUAUAAAAAUCUUUUUAAAAUAUAUCAUUUAAAAAGUACCCAAAGGUUUCAGUGAUUUAAUUUUUUUAAUUUACGUUAGUGCACUAAAAUAAAUUAUUUUAUUGUGCAUUGUUCAAUAAAUAAUUUCUAAAUAAAUCAUUUUAUUGUGCAAUUCAUUGUGCAUUGUGUUCACAAUAUUAUUGGGGUGGUUACACACAAUCCGGCUUUCAGUACUGUUGGCACAUGCAAAAGUUUUGAGAUAAACAUACUGCUUCAUUCUAAUAAGUGCGUGUCCUGUAGCUUCCUGCUAAAACUCAUCCUCGCCCCCCCCCCCAAAAAAAAUCCCAGGGUGUUUGUUUUGUCGCACUUUUUUGUGCUAUAGUGCAUUGGAAGAGCAUAUCGGAACUAAUGAAGUGGAAUUAAGUGCUGGCAGUCCCGAAUAAAUCCACCACUAAUGCACUAUUAUUGUAUCAAUAACAACUUGUAGAAUAUAUCUGGGGGGAAAAUCGCAGUCUGGAUGAACCCUACAUACCGAUUGCAUAUGCUGAAACAGCAGUUAAUAUUGCAUAUGCAAGUUUACUUAUUUAGCCAGGCCAGUUAACUAUGCUAGCAAUUUCUUAACAAAAGCAUUAAGUCAAUUAUUGAAGUCUGAAAUGAAUUUUAUUAUUUUAAAAGGUAUUCCCCUCAAGAGCACUGAUUUUAUCAAAUGCCAUACCUGCUAACUUGUGAAUUAGGAGCAAAUAGAAACUUAGUCUUCUCUGGUCAACUAAACUUUUAAAUUUCUGUAAAAAUAUCACUUACAGUUUCCCUUAUACAGUGAAAACGAUUUCAGAAGUGGUAUGAUAGUCAGAUAUUGAUGCAUUUUAUUUUGAAUCUUGUGCAUAAUGUGCUCCACAACUGUGAUUUUAUUGUGUCUAUGUGCUUUGAAUUUACUUUUGAGUCUGACUGUCCACAAAGGACAAAGUAUACCUCUGGUGCUUGCACUCCUCCCAGAAGAAUAGAGAGGACAGAAGUUGGGCACUGUAAAUUUGGAAGACGAGAAUCUUCCAGUAUCAUAUAUAUCUUCAACUCACCUUGUUUGAGAAGGUGGCUAGUGUCACUGCAUGCAACAGGAAAGCUCUUGUAUCUUUAAUAGCUAUGGAGAAGAAACAGGCUAUUGUGUCAUACUGCGAUACGUUUUGAGAAAAGAUGCAGCUGCUGUAAUUCUCUCUUAAAUUGUAGAAUUGGAAGGGACCCCAAGGGUCAUCUACUCCGAUUGCCUGAAGUGCAGGAGUCCAGCCCACGUCCUUCCCUGGGUGGGCUCAAACCACCAACCUUCUGGCUAACAACCAGACACUGACCGUUUGUGCCACAGUACAGAAGACCUGUCCUGUCACUUAUCUGGUCACCCUAAAAACAACUGACUAGGAUGGGGAAAUAAAGUUCAUUAUAUGCAAUGGCAAGAAAUCACAUAAGGUGGCAGUAAGAGACUACGAAAUAUUCAGUCUUUCAGAGUGACAUAUUUCAGUAAUUCAUUAUUCACUGAAAGCAACUAAGGGCAGAGCCAUACCAAACACUGAAAGCAUAUACAACACACAUUUAAAGGACAUGACUUCUCCCAAAGAAUAAUGGGAAGUGUACUUUCCCCCUCGGAGCUACAAUUCCCAGCCCCAUCAACAAACUAACGUUCCCAGGAUCCUUUUAAAUGUUUUAAAGAUUUUUUUCUUAACUUUUCUGCGUUAAGUGUGCAUUCAGUAGUUUACCUCCUUUGUAAUGUUUCAUUUUGAAAUCUUUAAGAUAAUAUUUUAGUUUCCUUUAAAGUAUGUCGCUUUGAGGGUAUAUUUAUAUCUGAUUUUCUUCAGUAAUGUUUUAUUCUGGAUUGCUGUAUUCAAUGUUUUAAUGUGUUGGGUUAAACCACAGAGCCUAGGACUUGCUGAUCGGAAGGUCGGCGGUUCUAAUCCCCGCAACGGGGUGAGCUCCCGUUGCUCGGUCCCUGCUCCUGCCAACCUAGCAGUUCAAAAGCAAGUCAAAGUGCAAGUAGAUAAAUAGGUACCGCUCCGGCAGGAAGGUAAACGGCGUUUCCGUGCGCUGCUCAGGUUCGCCAGAAGCGGCUUAGUCAUGCUGGCCACAUGACCCGGAAGCUGUACGCCGGCUCCCUCGGCCAAUAAAGCGAGAUGAGCGCCGCAACCUCAGAGUCGGCCACGACUGGACCUAAUGGUCAGGGGUCCCUUUACCUUUACCUUAAACUGCUUCGUGAUUUUUUCCUCUAAAAUAUUAAGUGGUCUAGAAAUGAAAUGAAUAAUAGCAAUAAUAAUACACCUGAACCCAGGCUCGUCUCCCCCAGACAAACCGCAAGCCCCCAUUCAGAUGUGAUGCUAAGGCAGCAGCAAGAUUGUGGGGAAAGUGCUAUGGCCAUGAUUGGCAGUUUGAGAACCUGCUUGUUUGCACUAAGGCAUGGUUUGGUUUAGUAUGCUGUCCAGACAUUAUUUACCUGUAAUUCAGCGAGAUUGAAAUGAUGCGACCUGUUUGCUCAAAUAGCUGAAUAUGACAUACAUUUACAUACCUGAUAACAGCACAGCAAGGAGGCAAAUCAGUUAUUUAUAUAUGCAGACAUUUUAUUCUAGCAUCUCGUGCAAAGUCACUAGAAACCACUUCAAGCUGAUCUGAUAGGGACAGAGCAGAACAAGCAAUCGAGCAGGAGAGGUCUACAUUGCUCCAUAGAAAAUCACAAUUUAAUUGAUUUCCAAGAGCUUAUCUCAUGCCGCUUUUUAACAAGACUGAACCUGCCACCUACCACGACAGGAAAAACUCUGUAUGAAAUAUGUCAAAGAGAGAUUGCAGUAAGAGGUCUCAUAGUGAUUUCUUUAAAUCUCAGGGCAUAGAUGUCGCUUUCCCAGGAUACGGAUUCUUCCCAACAGGUGAAAAUUACAGCACAAUAUCCCUGAGUUCUGUGCAAACUACUUUUACACAGGGAUAUUGAUCAUGGCCAUGUGAGAAAGGCUUAUGCCUGUGUAAAAAUUAAAUCGCAAUAUGAGAAAACUAAACUCAAGAGAGUGAUAUUUGAAAAAGUGUGACCAUGAUAGUGUGUAAAAUGGUCAGAGCCGCAUUGCAGGCCAAAAACCCUAACAAUUCAUUUCUGGAAAAUGCUAGAGCUCCUAAAUCAACACAUUCUGGGUUAAAGCUUGAAUGUGAAGAAAUGUACAUGUUUCAAGGCAUUUGUUUUACACACUGGAGGGCACUGCAAACUGAAUCUAGGUUCUGAGCCCUGUAUGAGAAUCAAGUCCAUUGAGAGGGCCAAUGCAUGCAUAAAAGCCAAAAGCCAAAGGGUGUAUUUUUAGUAUGCAGAGACUCAAUAGAAAUGUUUUUUUAAAAUGUCCGCGAGAGAUAAACCCAUUCUCUAUUGUGCAUAGAUGUGGAGUCUUUUGCUAUGUACAGAGCUACCAAGAAGGUAAGAGAACCUGGCUAUCCAUUCAUAUCCAUAAUAGCAACUGAAAUGAAAACUUUUUAAUUGAAGGUGAUGGUUCCAUGCCCUGGUCUAGUCCACGUGUAUCUCUGGACAUUGGGGCUUUAUUCUCCUCCGCUGAGCCCUAAGGUGUCACCUCUGCUGCCAGAUUGAAGGCCAGUCCACAGACUCUCCCUGAGGAGAGAUCCAAGCUCUGAAAACCCUAAUACCUCAAAGGAGUCAACAGUUGCAGAAGAAGGCACCAGAAAUGGUUAGGAGGCAGUGAAUGACUGGCUAUGCCUGCUAUGAAACUCAGCCAGUUGCUCCAGGAUCUGAGACAAUGGGAUGUUUCACUUCAGCUUCAGGAGCACUGUCCAUGGUGCUAGAGGCACACCUUGAUCUCUGUCCAUGGUUCUGACUUUUGUCUUGCCCUGCCUUGCUGUCCUGCCUGUCUAAGGAACCAGAAAGUACUGACUGCUCCCCAUUGCCUCCCUUUGGUGAAGGCACAUUGCUGGUGUGAAACUCCAGAGUAACUCAUGGAUAAAAACAAUUGAUUAUUAUAUAAAAACCUGUGUAUUUCUAUAUCAAUAACAGACAUCCACAUCUGCUUCUUUUACAGUAAGAAAAGGAACAAGGUUUUAAGCUGCCUUGGCUAUGUUUAGACUGCCAGGUGCGGAGAAAUAUAAGGCAAAGCAUCAGACCAAAAACAGAGAACGGUCAGGGACAGUCCUCCAACUGAGUUAUCAUCAUUGGCAAAGGAAAUAAUGGGAUACCAGACCGUCACAAAUUUAUUAGUAAAUAUUUAGAACAUGAUCCAAACAAAGUUAAGCACUUAAGUUUAAUUUUAUUUUGGCUGUGCUCAUUUAACUUUGAUUUUCUUAGCUUUUCCUUCUUUUCUCCUGCGUUCAGGAGAGCCUUUGGCCUUCCAGAGGUUGCUGAACUACAACUCCUACCAUCCCUAGUCAUGGGUCAUGCUUGCUGGAGCUGAUGGGAGUUGCAGUUCAACAACACAUAGAGGGCCAAAAGUUCCCUGCCCCUGCUGUAAAGUGCUGACAAGCCGUUUUACACUUACGUUUUUAUGCAAAUGAAGUUCUAUCAGAGUAAAACUGCUUAAUGCCUAAAAACCAAAUUUCUCUCCCAGAAAUGUAAUGUGACACUGAAUAAUAUUAAAUCCCUUUCUUCCCUGCCUUUGCCUUUAUAAGCCUUUUAAAAUAAUGUAAUUGGUCUCGGCUAUCUGAUACUUGCUUAUGCAAACGUCAGUUAAAAUAAUUGAGCUGAAGUUUCCAUCUGGUCCUCUUUAUAAAAGAUUUGUGCACUUGAAUUUUUGUUGAGUGGUAAAAUAGACUUAGUAGAGUGGUAAAGCCUCAAGGAGACAAACAGUUCAUCAAAUAGUAAAAUUCUUCUCAUGCUGCACCAUUUCGGACUACAUGUAAAGGAAGGCAGAUGCCUCCUGAACGAAGAAACUAUCACGCUACACACAGAAAAUGAGCCAUGCUAGGGAGAAAAUCAAAUGACAUGCUUUCGCCCUGACACCUCUAGUUUUCUAGGGGAAGAUGUGGGUUUUUUUGUAUAUGCUGUGUUUUACCUGCAGCCCUGUGACAGGCCACAAGAGUAACUGGUAAACUGUCUAGAUCAUGGGUAGGCAAACUAAGGCCCGGGGGCUGGAUCCAGCCCAAUCACCUUCUAAAUCCAGCCCGUGGAUGGUCCAGGAAUCAGCAUGUUUCUGCAUGAGUAGAAUGUGUCCUUUUAUUUAAAAUACAUCUCUGGGUUAUUUGUGGGGCAUAGGAAUUGGUUCAUUUUUUUUCUUUCCAAAAUAUACAAGGUUUGUGGGGAAAUUGGCUGGCCCCCUGCUGAAAAAGUUUGCUGACCCCUGGUCUAGAUUAAAAAGGUAAAGGGACCCCUGACCAUUAGGUCCAGUCGUGGCCGACUCUGGGGUUGCAGUGCUCAUCUCGCUUUAUUGGCCAAGGGAGCCGGCAUACAGCUUCCGGGUCAUGUGGCCAGCAUGACUAAGCCGCUUCUGGCAAACCAGAGCUGCACACGGAAACACCGUUUACCUUCCUGCCGGAGCGGUACCUAUUUAUCUACUUGCACUUUGACAUGCUUUCGAAUUGCUAGGUUGGCAGGAGCAGGGACUGAGCAAUGGGAGCUUACCCUGUCGCGGGGAUUCAAACCGCCGACCUUCUGAUCGGCAAAUCCUAGGCUCUGUGGUUUAACCCACAGCGCCACCCGUGUCCCUUGCUCUAGAUUAGGGGUAGGGAAUUGCAUGAGGCCCUCCAGAUCUCUCUGUCCAGUCCUUGGGCCACAUCCCUCAUUAGCUCUGACGAGCUUUUGCCUGACUGGAAUGUGUCAUUGAGUUCUGAUAAUACCUUUUGCUUGCCGGAAUGGAAAGAGGUGUGUGUGCAACAGGGAUGGAGUGAAAUUCAAUUCAGUUCGUACAUAAAGGCAGAUCUAUAAAAAUUGCUUUUCCCAAAACGAUAUGAGAAAUUCACACUUAUCCGAAUUAUGCAAAGCAGUUCUCCAACCCACGUUUGCAAAAAUGGAUAUAUUAGAGGAAAGUGUACAUACAGAUUAACUGGGCAAAAAAAAAACCCAUACAAAAAUGCAUUUCAUUUUUUUGCAAGAAUGUGAACACUGCGUACAAAAAUGUGACAUGGGAAAUUCACACAAAAAUGUUGGUGCGUGUUUGUGAGGACUUAAAAAUAAUCGCAAACUGCUGCAGAAAUGUAGGGAACUGAAUUUAAGAUUGGAAAAAUGAGAAGCAGAAACAAAAUGGACAUACGUGGUCUCAGAUAUGCUGCCAUGUACCUCAUGUUGCAUGACAUUUUAAUGUGAUUUGCAAGAGUAGUCCCGAAGUCCCCAGCAAUAUCUUUAUUCUGCAGAUUCCAUCUCAAGGUGAAUUAAAGACCAAGCUUUCUCUUCUCCACUCAUAUAUUAUGGUCUAUCAGAGCCAAGCAGUAAGGAACACCCAGCUUCAGGCAGUUGUAGGUAGAAAGCUGUUAUCAAAAUAUGAUGUGAGCAUUGGUAAAUCCGAAGACUUACUAUCAUGUGAACCCAGGAUUUAAUUUAAUAAAAGGGGUGUUUUCAGGGGUAUACUUGCACCACUUAUCUAGCACAAGAUGGUCCUACAUAGUUGUUUCAAGAUUCCUAAAUUACAGUUAUAUUGUUUUUGCGUGUGUUUUAAACCAUUUAAUUUUCUGGUUUUCAGAUUUGCAGGGGAAAAAAUUGUGAAGACAAUCUUGUUUGGGGACACAUUGGAAAAUAAAAGGAAAAGAAGUGAUCAUUCAGUAAGCGCAAUGAUAUGACAGAUAUGCAAAUAGAUACGAUUUCAAACAGAUAAUGCUAAUAAACUUGGAUACAUGCUUAGAUUUCACUGAAUGGCACUGUGGUCCUUGGAAGUGAAGAUCGUCCAAUUAUGCAAGACUAGUAUGAACAGGAAAGAGGACAGAUGGCAGGAGCUUUAAGUGCAAGUUUUCUUUAUGUAGCUAUCAUCGCCUUCUCUCUAGAAGAUAUUUUGAAUCCCUUGCACCUGUUCUCUUCCCCCCAACCCCACUUAAAAAAAUUCUGUUUAUAAAUAAAUCAACAUUGGCUUGAC